CUCCAGUAUGUGAUUAAAGUUCAAUUUAGAGAUUGAGAUACAAUUGUUUAAGGUAAAUUACAUCUGUUUGAAAGUGAAACCAGUGUUUGUUUUUCAUGCAGGCUCUGUCAAUCAUAGCCAGGGGAGGUGUGGCUAGGGCUGCAUAAACAGAAACAAAGUGAUUUAACUCCUAAAUGACAGUGAACUGAGCAGCGAAAUUGCAGGGGAAUGAUCUAUACACUAAAACAGCUU